UGGGGAAUUUUGGACAAUGGGGGAAACCCUGAUCCAGCCAUCCCGCGUGUGCGAUGAAGGCCUUCGGGUUGUAAAGCACUUUUGGCAGGAAAGAAACGUCAUGGGUUAAUACCCCGUGAAACUGACGGUACCUGCAGAAUAAGCACCGGCUAACUACGUGCCAGCAGCCGCGGUAAUACGUAGGGUGCAAGCGUUAAUCGGAAUUACUGGGCGUAAAGCGUGCGCAGGCGGUUCGGAAAGAAAGAUGUGAAAUCCCAGAGCUCAACUUUGGAACUGCAUUUUUAACUACCGGGCUAGAGUGUGUCAGAUGGAGGUGGAAUUCCGCGUGUGGCAGUGAAAUGCGUAGAUAUGCGGAGGAACACCGAUGGCGAAGGCAGCCUCCUGGGAUAACACUGACGCUCAUGCACGAAAGCGUGGGGAGCAAACAGG
rnacentral:rRNA from 1 species